rnacentral:rRNA from 1 species
ACGGAGGGUGCAAGCGUUAUUCGGAAUUACUGGGCGUAAAGCGCGUGUAGGCGGUCCUGCAAGUCUGAUGUGAAAGCCCCGGGCUCAACCCGGGAAGUGCAUUGGAAACUGUGGGACUUGAGUACUGGAGAGGAUGGGGGAAUGCCCGGUGUAGAGGUGAAAUUCGUAGAGAUCAGGAGGAAUAUCGAUUGCGAAGGCGCCCAUCAAGACGGUAACUGACGCUGAGACGCGAAAGCGUGGGGAGCAAACAG